GUUCAUUGCGAUCCCAAGGUUCACUGCGGUUUUCCACAAGCCUGUUUCUGCCUAUCACCAUGAGUGAUUCCUUGAUACUCAUAUUUAUCAUCAAGAUCUCAAUUAUAAGCUCAAGUCUUGAUGACAACUUGAUGAUCUGCAGGAAGCACCACCAUGUAUAGAGGGCAAAGACCACUCUGGAAUCAGUCAAGGCUCAUAGGAACUCCAAUCUUCCCAACUGUGAGAGGGCCUUGCUCCAGUGACUGUUGGUGAAAUGGAGUGAGGCAUACAAGGAUAUGUGUGGUUUUACUCUUGGGAAGGAGGUUGAACAGUGCAAUAUUUCUUCUAUAGGAUUGCAGUGACCAGACAUGCUACUGUAACUCUCAUGGUCAUGUGCUGGAAUUAGCAGAUAUUCAACAAUUUGGCCAUCUUGCUGACCUAUUGAUAUCAGAAGACCACAACAGCUCUGCAAAGCAAGUUGGAAAACAGAAUCCAUGAAACUGGCAGUGACCGGAAACCAGUUAGAAGACUUUGGUCUGU